rnacentral:rRNA from 1 species
UACAGAGGUCCCGAGCGUUGUUCGGAUUCACUGGGCGUAAAGGGUGCGUAGGUGGUGAGGUAAGUCGGAUGUGAAAUCUCCGGGCUCAACCCGGAAAUGGCAUUGGAAACUACCUUGCUGGAGGAUUUGAGGGGGGAUUGGAAUACUUGGUGUAGCAGUGAAAUGCGCAGAUAUCGGGAGGAACACCAAUGGCGAAGGCAGCUCGCUGGGACGGUACUGACGCUGAGGCGCGAAAGCGUGGGGAGCAAACAGG